UGCUAGAGGACCAGAAUUCUUGGGAGGC
rnacentral:piRNA from 1 species